GACGAACGCUGGCGGCGUGCCUAAUACAUGCAAGUCGAACGCACAGUUUAUACCGUAGCUUGCUACACCAUAGACUGUGAGUUGCGAACGGGUGAGUAACGCGUAGGUAACCUGCCUGGUAGCGGGGGAUAACUAUUGGAAACGAUAGCUAAUACCGCAUAAUAUUGAUUAUUGCAUGAUAAUUAAUUGAAAGGUGCAAUUGCACCACUACCAGAUGGACCUGCGUUGUAUUAGCUAGUAGGUGAGGUAACGGCUCACCUAGGCGACGAUACAUAGCCGACCUGAGAGGGUGAUCGGCCACACUGGGACUGAGACACGGCCCAGACUCCUACGGGAGGCAGCAGUAGGGAAUCUUCGGCAAUGGACGAAAGUCUGACCGAGCAACGCCGCGUGAGUGAAGAAGGUUUUCGGAUCGUAAAGCUCUGUUGUAAGAGAAGAACGGGUGUGAGAGUGGAAAGUUCACACUGUGACGGUAGCUUACCAGAAAGGGACGGCUAACUACGUG
rnacentral:rRNA from 1 species